CAAUAGCGUAUAUUAAAGUUGUUGCAGUUAAAAAGCUCGUAGUUGAAACUUGGGCCUGGCUGGCGGGUCCGCCUCACCGCGUGCACUCGUCCGGCCGGGCCUUCCUUCUGAAGAACCUCAUGCCCUUCACUGGGCGUGCUGGGGAAUCAGGACUUUUACUUUGAAAAAAUUAGAGUGUUCAAAGCAGGCCUUUGCUCGAAUACGUUAGCAUGGAAUAAUAAAAUAGGGCGUGCGUUUCUAUUUUGUUGGUUUCUAGAGACGCCGCAAUGAUUAACAGGAACAGUCGGGGGCAUCAGUAUUCAGUUGUCAGAGGUGAAAUUCUUGGAUUUACUGAAGACUAACUACUGCGAAAGCAUUUGCCAUGGAUGUUUNCAUUAA
rnacentral:rRNA from 1 species